GGGACGGAGCGGAGCGGCAGAGGAAGAGCCCAAGAAACGCAGCGUCCAACCCAGCUUUUAAAAUAGAGCGGGGAGAAAGCAAACCAGUGGAGGACAACGACGUUGAGAACGGCCUGCGGAUGGCGGCUGGGCAGCGCCGGGUCUGAAGGUCAGGCUUCCCAACUUGAACAAGCUAAGAAGCCAGUGGGGUCACAUCUGCUCCUUUGUGGCCCAUAUUAUUAAAGCAGGACGAGAUGGGAUGACCACACCAGGUAACACGGUCCAAGUCUCAGGUAGCAGCCAGACGUGCCUGAACUCUCUACCCUGUCCGGCACCUGUGCUCCACUCCUCCAACAGCAAGAAGACACAAGGCUUAAAGCGUCUCAUAGCUCAGAAACCACUUCCCCCACUUUUGUCUUCUUCUUCUUUUUGGUGGUGUCCCUGAGCCCAUCUCUCAGCUCAUGCCCACUCUCUGGCACAGCCUUGGUCUUCUUAUUCUUGUUCUCGUUCUUCUUUUUUUUUUUUUGAUUUUUUUUUUUUUUUUGCUGAGGAAGAUUCUCCCUGAGCUAACAUCUGUGCCCAUCUUCCCCUAUUUUGCAUGUGGGUCACCGACACAGCACAGCCACUGAUGAGUAGUGUAGGUCCAGGCCCAGGAACCGAACCUGGGCUGCCGAAGUGGAGUGCACCAAACUCAGCCAGCAGGCCCCAGGCCCAGCCCCCUCUUCUUCUCCUUCUUAACUGGGGAGCCACUAGAGAGGCCUCCUCACGUUCACCCCCACUCCCUCACUUCCACUUUGGGGCAUUUACUGUUUCAG
rnacentral:lncRNA from 1 species